rnacentral:lncRNA from 1 species
AAUUCUUGAUUUCAUCUCUGGACUUUUUUCGCUUUCUUUAUCAAAAGAUGGAAAGGGUGUUAAUUUUAAGGUUUAAUAGCAAAAUCAUGUUCAUUCGCCCUCCGAUAAAGCAAAGCUGAUGCCUCCACCCUGCAAUUUUUUCUGUUUGGGUGUUAAUUUUUUAAGGUUUAAUAGCAAAAUCAUGUUCAUUCGCCCUCCGAUAAAGCAAAGCUGAUAUUAUUUUAUUUUUGGUGGACAAAUCAAGAAAGACAACCAACUUAAAUAAUAAUGGUAGUAAUAAGACUGCAAUCGUACAAUAAAAAG